CAAAUUGUAGCUUAACUAAAGCAUUUCGCUUACACCGAAAAUAUAUCUGUUAAAACCAGAUCACUUUGA
rnacentral:tRNA from 1 species